rnacentral:rRNA from 1 species
AUUGAACGCUGGCGGCAGGCCUAACACAUGCAAGUCGAGCGGAGCGGGGGACGGGGGCGUAAUGCCUAGGUCUGUGACUGGUAGUGGGGGAUAACGUUAGGAAACGGGAGCUAAAACUGCAUCCUAUCAGAUGCGCCUAGGUGGGAUUAGCUGGUUGGUGGGGUAAAGGCAUACCAAGGCGACGAUCCCUAACUGGUCUGAGAGGAUGAUCAGUCACACUGGAACGGAGACACGGUCCAGACUCCUACGGGAGGCAGCAGUGGGGAAUAUUGGACAAUGGGCGAAAGCCUGAUGCAGCCAUGCCGCGUGUAUGAAGAAGGUCUUCGGGUUGUAAAGCACUUUAAGUGGGGAGGCGUUACCAGCAGAAUAAGCACCGGCUAACUCCGUGCCAGCAGCCGCGGUAAUUC